GAUGGUACUGUGCUGGGAACAGAAGAUAUAGAAGCAACAAUGAGUCAGUCUUUCAGUCUUUGCCCUUAAGAUAUUAAUAUUCCACCAGAAGGACAAAUGUUCACAGGAGGAGAUGUCAAGGAGGCAGGACUGGACCUCAGGAGAGAAAUGAGGGCUAAACAUAGAAGUCAUCUAGAGAUGACAGGUGAGUUCAUGAAAGCAGAGUAAUUUAAUGAAUGAAUGAAUGAAUGAAUGACAGAGUUUAAGGAGAAGAGG
rnacentral:lncRNA from 1 species